AAAAAUAUUUAUGUUUGGUUAGCUGUUUUAUGGUUAUUAAUAUGUGGAUAUUUUAAAAGUACUGGCCUUAGGAUGAUGGUUUCUUCCAAUAAAAAUUCUGAGAGAUCUUAAGCAAUAAUAAAAUUAGAGCACUAAAUUAUAGUGGGCCGUAUGUCAGCUGUAGUUCGUAACAUUGGCGAAAAAUGUAAUCAUUAUGCCAGUAAGAGGAGAGUGAGAGGGAGGUAAAGCGGGUGCCAGCACCAGCGGUUAAACCCAUCAUCCUCAAAGAAAAAGUGUCGAGUAGUAGGGGGAAAAUUGUUAAAAAUAUUAAAGUUAUGCUUUCUGUCUUAAUAUAGUGUAGAAACUAAAGGAAGAUAUGGUAAAUCUUAUUGUCAAACUUUUUUUCCGUAGGGCUGUGGCUAGUGACGGGGUAAAUCCCCUUAACAAUGUUCGUGAUCGGGCGAAGAGUGGUUGUACCAUAGGAAGUCAAUAUACUUGGCGGUGUUAUGAAUUCGGUCAGGGGAGCUUGGUGGUUAAUUCGAUGUACCGCGAGAACCUUACCUCAUAUAUUUCUAUCUGUACGGCCGUUGUUAGUGUGUCCUAAAGGGAUGUGCGAAAUUCCUUAUUACUUAAAUUAGAUAAUUGGUAUUAAGGUAUAAUUCAGGUAAAUGUGGAGGGUGUGAUGAGGCCUUAGCUGAGCUACAAUUAUGAAUUUAAACGGACUUCAGCUGAAAAACUGAAAGCGGGCAAGUUAGUGGCCAGUGCUUCUGAGCGACUGAGCAACACUAUAGGCUGUCUGCGCAGAAGGUGGACUUGAAAGUAAGAAGGUGAGAAGAAUGCCCUUCUGAAUAGUUAAACGUAACGCGUACAAACCGCCCAGCGCUCUUGUAUUAAAAAGUCUAGAUAAGUUGUAACAAGGAAAAGUCAGCCAAAGCUGUCUUUAGUUGUGA
rnacentral:rRNA from 1 species